rnacentral:rRNA from 1 species
UACGUAGGUGGCAAGCGUUGUCCGGAUUUAUUGGGCGUAAAGAGCGCGCAGGCGGUUCGUUAAGUCCGAGGUGAAAUCUCCCGGCUCAACUGGGAUAGGUCUUCGGAUACUGGCGGACUUGAGGAGAGCAGAGGUGAGUGGAAUUCUCGGUGUAGUGGUGAAAUGCGUAGAUAUCGAGAGGAACACCAGUGGCGAAGGCGGCUCGCUGGGACGGUACUGACGCUGAGGCGCGAAAGCGUGGGGAGCAAACAGG